GAUGAACGCUAGCUACAGGCUUAACACAUGCAAGUCGAGGGGCAGCAUGAUUGAAGCUUGCUUCAAUCGAUGGCGACCGGCGCACGGGUGAGUAACACGUAUCCAACCUGCCGAUAACUCGGGGAUAGCCUUUCGAAAGAAAGAUUAAUACCCGAUAGUAUAGUAUUUCCGCAUGGUUUCACUAUUAAAGAACUUCGGUUAUCGAUGGGGAUGCGUUCCAUUAGAUAGUUGGCGGGGUAACGGCCCACCAAGUCAACGAUGGAUAGGGGUUCUGAGAGGAAGGUCCCCCACAUUGGAACUGAGACACGGUCCAAACUCCUACGGGAGGCAGCAGUGAGGAAUAUUGGUCAAUGGACGAGAGUCUGAACCAGCCAAGUAGCGUGAAGGAGGACUGCCCUAUGGGUUGUAAACUUCUUUUAUACGGGAAUAAAGUGGAGUAUGCAUACUCCUUUGUAUGUACCGUAUGAAUAAGGAUCGGCUAACUCCGUG
rnacentral:rRNA from 1 species